GGGAGGAGGUCGGCGCUGCGUGAGAUUUCCAGCCUUAUUUAUUGGAGCUCGUAAUUCAGAUGAGAAAAUGGAAAAUAUAUACGUCCACGCUGAGGCUUGGCAGAGGGAUGGGAGGAAGGAAGGAGGAAGAGCCCCGUGGAAGGGCUGUGGCUUUCGGCAGCCUUGUGAAAAUCUGGGCCGGUUUGGGUGAUGCUGAAGCUGUUUAUAUGGGAUGGGAUGGAGUGGGCUAUGGCACCCUAAAUGCUGUCUUAAAGUGGAACAUCCCAAUGCACUCCAAGGAGAGAGCUGUAGGAUGCACUCAUAGAUGUUGUGCUGAGGGGUUUAGAAGGGAAACAGUGCUGGUGGGAAUAUGGUUGGCUUGGAUGAUCUCGGAGGUCCUUUCCAGCCUUGUGACUCUGCGCUGCAGUGAAGGGGGAUUAAAGCCCUCAGCAUUCAGGCUCCGGGCGCAGGAAACAGCAGCUUUUCUUCUGGCUCGAGUUGGAAAGACACGGCCCCUCUGUUCUGCUGAAAGCCCCUGGUUGCUGAAUGACCCCCGGCCCUGAAUGAAGUGCCUCUCAAUUAAAAGUUUCC
rnacentral:lncRNA from 7 species